rnacentral:rRNA from 1 species
GAUGAACGCUGGCGGCGUGCCUAAUACAUGCAAGUCGAGCGAACGGACGAGAAGCUUGCUUCUCUGAUGUUAGCGGCGGACGGGUGAGUAACACGUGGAUAACCUACCUAUAAGACUGGGAUAACUUCGGGAAACCGUAGCUAAUACCGGAUAAUAUUUUGAACCGCAUGGUUCAAAAGUGAAAGACGGUCUUGCUGUCACUUAUAGAUGGAUCCGCGCUGCAUUAGCUAGUUGGUAAGGUAACGGCUUACCAAGGCAACGAUGCAUAGCCGACCUGAGAGGGUGAUCGGCCACACUGGGACUGAGACACGGUCCAGACUCCUACGGGAGGCAGCAGUAGGGAAUCUUCCGCAAUGGGCGAAAGCCUGACGGAGCAACGCCACGUGAGUGAUGAAGGUCUUCGGAUCGUAAAACUCUGUUAUUAGGGAAGAACAUAUGUGUAAGUAACUGUGCACAUCUUGACGGUACCUAAUCAGAAAGCCACGGCUAACUACGUG